CGGAGUGUAGCGCAGCCUGGUUAGCGCACCUGUCUGGGGGACAGGGGGUCGUGGGUUCGAAUCCCGCCACUCCGA
rnacentral:tRNA from 2 species